UACGUAGGGCGCAAGCGUUUAUCCGGAAUUAUUGGGCGUAAAGAGCUCGUAGGCGGUUUUGUCGCGUCUGCUGUGAAAGACCGGGGCUCAACUCCGGUUCUGCAGUGGGUACGGGGCAGACUAGAGUGCAGUAGGGGAGACUGGAAUUCCUGGUGUAGCGGUGAAAUGCGCAGAUAUCAGGAGGAACACCGAUGGCGAAGGCAGGUCUCUGGGGCUGUAACUGACGCUGAGGAGCGAAAGCAUGGGGGAGCGAACAGG
rnacentral:rRNA from 1 species